AGAUGACACAUGGUAAAACUGUGAGGUUUCCAUCAGCCCACCCUGGGCAUCAGAGGAAGCAUCCACGCAGGAUGUUUACAAGGUGGCACUUCCUUGUCUCCACCAACCUAGUCUCUGUGGUCAGAGCUAUGGCCGCCAAAGGGCCCCUAUGCACUUGCGCGAGCCGGGCCCUCUUAGGUCGCUCAUGUCGCCACCAUUGCCAUAGUUGGAUGUGUUAAGUGGUACUGGCCAGUGGAGCUGAAGAGCACAGCUCCAUCAGCUGGCACCCCUCCCCACAGGUCCCGCUGCACCACUGUGAGAGGCUGGGCUUCCUUCUUCUGCUCCCACCCUUCCCCGCUUACAGAAUUCGGGACUCUGCAUGACAUAGUGAGAAGCUGCGGUGGCUUAAGGGUUUUUGUGACGGCCCCAGCAUUUCCCUGGCAAUUGGCGACUAUGACACGCCCAUGUCUCAGUGCUAUGGUACAAAGGCUGCAAUACGAUGUGCGCAUAGAAAUGUUGCGAACUUGUAGGUCUUCUCUUUGCUCUCCUACAAGGAGUGGGACGCUGCACAGGCAGGAUGUGUUGGCCUUCGGAGAAGGGACCGUCUUGACUGUGAGUCCCAGCCUUGCAGGCCUUUUUCCACCCGGAAGAACAGGGCCCUGACUGACUCCAGCUAUAAAAGCUGGGAGGGGGUGUUUUUGGGGGGGUUGCUGUUUCUGUUCGUUUUUGCUGUUAUUGAUAGCAACUUUUUGUAUCUUUACUUUUAGAUAUUAUUAUGAUGUAUGCAGAGAUUGUUCAAUCUGGUUAUGUACUGUUUGUUGUGUUUUGUUUAUUACUACUUAUGUUACGUUUGUAAUUUUGUAAGUAUUUUCAUGUUGUAAGCUGCCUUGAGCAUGGUUUUGACUAUGGAAACGUAGCCUACAAAUAAAAAGAAUGAACAAACAGUGUGUCUCUCAGUGUGUGGAGCCCUGUUGUGCCCAGUGAACAUAGGCUCAGUGCUUUUUUCUGGGGGUACACAGGGGUACACAUGCGCCUAAACAUGUUGUGAAUCUUUGUAUUUUCGUCUAUUUACUGUAUUUAUUUUUCCCAAUUUGAACUAUAAAAUGGUGAUUUUCUUGAGUCAAAAUGAGAGUACCCCUAAACAUUUUCUUAGGAAAAAAAAGCACUGCAUAGGGUUAUACCAGACCGGCAGCCAUUCCAGUCCUAUAUUAGGAUGAGUUAACACCAGUACCCCUACUGAAAUCCUCCACGUUUUGUUGAUACCUCCCCCCCCCCCCCAAAAAAAGCAUUCCUUCUUUGACAUUGCUUUGAAAAAGUACAGGAACCCUGUGCUUCCUUGCAUCUGGCUACUUUAAGCAAAACACCAACGAAAAAGAGCAAAGAGCUCUCUGUAAACCUACUGCCAGGAGCCACACGCCUUCUCAGUUGCUAUAGCAACCUGACUGACUGGCCAGAUCCCAGAAAUAGGGCAGCUAUGAAAGACAGAAGUAACAGCUCUGGGUUCUUACCACCCUGAUGGGCACGUGCUCUUUUGGCACUUGAUAACUUUGUUCUUUGCACUAUCCGUUAAUUGUGCAAUAACUAGGCAUUUCUUUAUUGUGUACCUGUCCUCUCUCCCCCCGCUUCCUAUGUUCCUUUGGUGUGGAUACCACAUGUUCUGUGUGCUCAGGGCACAAUAUUUGGAUGGGGCCAAGCUGCUGCUUGACACCUGAUGAUGGAAAGUCAUAUCUGUGAUUUUAUUUAUUUACUAAAUUAUUUACUAAAUUAUUUUAGACCACUUUUCAGGGUAAAGUACCUUCACAGGUAUAUACUGGCCUUAAGUCAUUAUUUCUAAAUGCCCUUUUCAAUUCCAGGUCAGCACAAUGCCCCAAAUGAUCCAGAACAGUGAGAAUCCUGCAAAGAAGAAUUACAUGAACAAUGCAGACAAAUUUGAAGUCCCAUCAAUGAAGCACGGUCAUAGCUGUGUACAAUUGAGGGCAAACAGAUAGUCCUUUGGCUUCCUUAGGGUUUCAUGGAGUAUAAAAUUGCCUGGGACUAUAGGGAAUGAAAGCUCUUGAUUGCACCAUAUGGCCUCUUGCUGGCCCCUGCAAUAUUCCUAUUCUCUUUGUUCAUCUGCAAGAUAUUAACAUUACAUCCCUUCGACACACCAUUAAAUGGAGUCACACACACAGCAGAAUGUAAUUUUAUGGCCAGAUCCUGCUCUUAGGAGCGAUGACGACCAAACUAGCUAAUCAAAUCAGCGCAAAUUUGCAAACACCAUCUCAGCAGCUGUGACUGUAAAUAUCAGCGGCAGAAUGUGAAUAAUCCUGUCCGCAGGAUGACUUGAGUAAUGGGUUCCCAAUGGGCGUUCCAGCCAUCAGUUUGCUGCCUGGCAACCCAAGGGGGACUCUGAUUUUGAUGAGCCUGAAACAGCAGAUGCCGUUAUCAUGAUGUAGCAGCUAUAGCUGGCUUCCCAGAAAAAAUAAACUUAUUUAGACAAAUGGAAGGGG
rnacentral:lncRNA from 1 species